rnacentral:tRNA from 1 species
GGUGCUGUGGCUCAAGUGGUAGAGCACUAGCCUUGAGCUGACCUGAGACCCUGGGUUUGAUUCCUCAGCACCA